UGCAAGUCGAGCGAACGGACGAGAAGCUUGCUUCUCUGAUGUUAGCGGCGGACGGGUGAGUAACACGUGGAUAACCUACCUAUAAGACUGGGAUAACUUCGGGAAACCGGAGCUAAUACCGGAUAAUAUUUUGAACCGCAUGGUUCAAAAGUGAAAGACGGUCUUGCUGUCACUUAUAGAUGGAUCCGCGCUGCAUUAGCUAGUUGGUAAGGUAACGGCUUACCAAGGCAACGAUGCAUAGCCGACCUGAGAGGGUGAUCGGCCACACUGGAACUGAGACACGGUCCAGACUCCUACGGGAGGCAGCAGUAGGGAAUCUUCCGCAAUGGGCGAAAGCCUGACGGAGCAACGCCGCGUGAGUGAUGAAGGUCUUCGGAUCGUAAAACUCUGUUAUUAGGGAAGAACAUAUGUGUAAGUAACUGUGCACAUCUUGACGGUACCUAAUCAGAAAGCCACGGCUAACUACGUGCCAGCAGCCGCGGUAAUACGUAGGUGGCAAGCGUUAUCCGGAAUUAUUGGGCGUAAAGCGCGCGUAGGCGGUUUUUUAAGUCUGAUGUGAAAGCCCACGGCUCAACCGUGGAGGGUCAUUGGAAACUGGAAAACUUGAGUGCAGAAGAGGAAAGUGGAAUUCCAUGUGUAGCGGUGAAAUGCGCAGAGAUAUGGAGGAACACCAGUGGCGAAGGCGACUUUCUGGUCUGUAACUGACGCUGAUGUGCGAAAGCGUGGGGAUCAAACAGGAUUAGAUACCCUGGUAGUCCACGCCGUAAACGAUGAGUGCUAAGUGUUAGGGGGUUUCCGCCCCUUAGUGCUGCAGCUAACGCAUUAAGCACUCCGCCUGGGGAGUACGACCGCAAGGUUGAAACUCAAAGGAAUUGACGGGGACCCGCACAAGCGGUGGAGCAUGUGGUUUAAUUCGAAGCAACGCGAAGAACCUUACCAAAUCUUGACAUCCUUUGACAACUCUAGAGAUAGAGCCUUCCCCUUCGGGGGACAAAGUGACAGGUGGUGCAUGGUUGUCGUCAGCUCGUGUCGUGAGAUGUUGGGUUAAGUCCCGCAACGAGCGCAACCCUUAAGCUUAGUUGCCAUCAUUAAGUUGGGCACUCUAAGUUGACUGCCGGUGACAAACCGGAGGAAGGUGGGGAUGACGUCAAAUCAUCAUGCCCCUUAUGAUUUGGGCUACACACGUGCUACAAUGGACAAUACAAAGGGCAGCGAAACCGUGAGGUCAAGCAAAUCCCAUAAAGUUGUUCUCAGUUCGGAUUGUAGUCUGCAACUCGACUACAUGAAGCUGGAAUCGCUAGUAAUCGUAGAUCAGCAUGCUACGGUGAAUACGUUCCCGGGUCUUGUACACACCGCCCGUCACACCACGAGAGUUUGUAACACCCGAAGCCGGUGGAGUAAC
rnacentral:rRNA from 1 species